rnacentral:lncRNA from 1 species
GAAUUCACUACUUACGUAGCUACAGAAUUAAUUUUCAUUACAUUCAUUUUCAUAUUUAAGCUGCUAAAUUUAUUACACUUUUUUAAUAUUCAAGUAUUAAUUCAUGUUAAGUCAUCGACACAACAUAUAGACAAGUAGAUUAGUGGUGCCAACCAGUGGUCACCCCCUGACAUGGUAGUCGUGAUAUACAGGGUAUGAAAUUAUGUUAAAUAUUUAACCAGAUUGUCGUGUAUGUAGCUUGUUUAACAAUGGCGUCAGCACAAGUACAUCGAAUGUACUUACGGGAAAAACAAGCAAGUACAAUUCAAACUGGAAUCCUUGAGCAUCCUAGUAAAUUAAUAUAGAAGUAUAAAGUCCCGUAUUUUAUUAUAGAAAUAAGUUAAUUUAUUUUUCUUUAU